GCGCGUUGGCCACCCCGCGCACUCCUGGCCCACCAGCGCUGGCGGGGGCGGUCACGAGCGAGGGGGGACGGGGUUGUGGGUGCGGCGGCUCCUCACCGGAUGGCAGCUGGCAGCUGGUAAAACCUGAGGUACGGACAUAGCCAAGCACACUCAUCUCUUACAACACGCUGGAGGAACUCAGCAGGUCGGGCAGCAUCCGUGGAAACAAUCAGGCGGUUGGCAGUCCAAUUUAAAGGGGAAUUACCACCACCAAAAGGAUUGUGCUUUCCUGCUAUCUUCCAAACAGAAAACUGAAUCCAGUACCAUUAGAUGCUCCAAGAACUUGGCAGCCCGAGAACAGUGGCAACGGCCGAGUGCUCUCUCCUCCUCUCCAGCCGUUAGAACUCCAGGGCCGCGAUCCAAUGUGCAGCCUGCGAUUGCUAACGGGAUCACAGUGCAUGCUCGAGAGUUACUCUCUCAAGCCAGCACCUGGACUCCAAAUCCUGUUCAUGAUGAAGAAAAUGGCAGGGGAAGGGGUGCUGUACUCUUCCACCAACCCUACCUCUUCAGUCAGGCUUCUGCCUCGUUCCUUUUCAGAUGAAGGGCUUUGGCUUGAAAAGUUGCCUGCAUUUCUCUCCACAGAUGCUGCCUGCCUUGCUCAGUUCCUUUGACAUUGUCUCUGUGUUGCUCAGAUUUCCAGUACCUUCAGAUUCUCGUCUGUCUCUGAUUUAUAAGGAGAGGUUGGACAGACGGGCGUGGUGGUAUAUUUAUGAUGGGUAGGAAGUACAGAAAUAGAUUUCCAGGCAUCUGUGAGGAUUUCUUUCCCCCCACUCAGAGGCUGGUACCUGGAAUACACAGAGGGGAAACCUCUCUCUGGUCUGGUAUGGGAGCCAUAAGGCACGGGGGAAAUGAACCCUUCCACCCAUCGAGUCUGCUCUGCCAUUCCAUCAUGGCUGAUUUAUUAUCCCUCUCAACCCCUUUCUCCUGCCUUCUCCUGUAACCUUUGACACUGACUGAUUAAGAACCUAUCAACUCCUACUCUAAAUAUACUCAAUGACUUGGCUUAUGGCAAUAAAUUCCACAAAUUCCAGCGAAUAGUGUGUAAUACAAGGGAGCUUCACACUGUUGCCUGACCCCCUGGCAUAUGUGGAGGGAGUUUCACUCUGUGUCUGACCCCGGGAGUGUGUGAUGGGACGGUGUGGAGGGAGCUUCACUCUGUGUCUGACCCCGAGAGUGUGUGGAGGGAGCUUCACUCUGUGUCUGACCCCGGGAGUGUGUGAUGGGACGGUGUGGAGGGAGUUUCACUCUGUGUCUGACCCCGGGAGUGUGUGAUGGGACGGUGUGGAGGGAGUUUCACUCUGGAUUAACUCUCUCACCACUAAUUUUGUUCCUGGACCUUGCUCUUUGUGAGUUUUGUAAAUGACUUGGGUGACAAAGCUUAACAAUGUGUCACCCUCACUGUCGGUUUGUACUGAGUUAGUUCUUACUAUGAAUACUAACCAACAAGAUAACUCGACAAUACAUGGGAGUAACAACGAAAGUGUCACUCUCAAUGGUUCUACACUAGAUAUGAUUCAAAUUAACACAAAAACGUAAAAGUUUUAUGUUCUUUUCAGGGAAAAUAAGACAAUUACCUGUAUGAAUACUGACGCACCCAUACAAAUUUACCAUUCAGCAGAAAGAAAUAAUUCAGCUCACACCUGUAUAAACUUAGAUUAAAAUUGUAUUGAAAAAAUAUUUUAAACUUUAACAAUCAAAAUAAAGGAAAGGACCUAUUUAUAUACAAGUUUAUAUCACGCACUAUUGUUGGAGCUGAUUGUCACACAAUCAAUCCAGUUUGCUUCACUUCAUUCACUCACGGUACCGACAUGAUUCCAGUUCCAGCAGGAAAAAAUAUCCACGUAACAUCCGAGGGAAAAGGCAUCGAGCUUCCUCCAGCGUCGUGUGCUGUUGGAGACACCUGCACAUUCUUCAUGAGACCAAAGCCUGCAUGAAGGUUUUCCAGCGACGGUAACCGUCCUUCCAAACGGGUCCUGGGAGUGUUUCACCGAAUUCUCCCAUCGCAUUUGUUAUCCAUUUCCAGUUCGCAACCCGUUCUCUCUCCCACGCUCACUCUAGAAUGAUCCCAAACAAAUCCUAUUUGCUAAUUCAACAAGCCCAACUUAUUAAUUGACCUAAUUUUUAUUUUAAAACAAAAAAAAACACUUUACUGCAUUUUGAGCAAAUACCCAACAGCGUAACUGUCUAAGACCAGGGGGUUACAGAUGUGUUGGCAAGUUUGCAGAUGGUUAGAGAUGCUGGGAUCAGGUAGGAGGUUGUCUUAGGUUACGACAGGAAAUUGAUAGGAGAGCUGGGCCUAGAAGUGGCGGAUGGUAAAGUGUCCGGUGAUACCCUUUGGAAGGUUUUGACCUUGAAGGAAGAGCACAGGGAAAUUGGCAAGACUCUUAGCAGCCUGAAGGACCAGAUGAGCUUCACAUCCAUGGAUCCCUCAAAGUUGACAGGAUGGUUGAGAAGGCAUUUGGCGUGCUGGCCUUCACUAGUCAAGUGAUUUGAGUAGUCAAAGUGAUGUUGUGGCUUGAGAAAACUCUUGCUACGACCACACUUGGGAGUGUUAUGUUCAGUUCUGGCCGCCUCAUUGGAGAAAGAUGUGGAACAUUUACAGAGUGUGCAGAGGAAAUUGGCCAGGAUGCUGCUUGGAUUGGAGAGCACGUCUUGUGAGAAUAGGUCAAGCAAGCUAUGGAUUUUAUCUUCGGAGCAAAGGAAAAUCAGAGGCAACUUGGUAGAGGCAUAUAAGAGAACAAGAGGCAUAGAUAGAGUGGACAGACAGAGACUUUUUCUCCAGUGCAGAAGUGGCUUAAAGUGUGCUCCUUAUAUACGAGGCAUAAUUUUAAGCUGGUUGGAGGAAAGUACAGUGCCGAUGUCAGAUGUAGGCAUUUUACACGGAGAGCGGUGGGUGUAUCGAACGCACUGCCAGGGCGGUGGUGGAGGCAGAUACACUGCGGAGAUUUUGGAGGCUCAGACAGCAAGAGGAAUGAACGGACAAUAGAGGGUUAAGUGGGAGGGUGGGGUCAGAUCUGAUUUAUUUUUAAAACCGCAGCAUUGAAAUACAGCCUAGAAUUUUGCACAGCUACCAUUAACAUUCACAAAAUGCCACACCAGAUACGGUCCCCAGCUAUUCCACCUCUCCCACCCUCCGAGUCCCAGAGUAUCCCAGCCUGGAACAUAGCAGGAAGUCCUGGAUUGUCACUGGGUCCAAAUCCCAACACUCUGAAAUCUAUUCAUUCCCUCACAGGAAGGCUGUGGAGACCCUGGGCUGAAGGGUGUGGAGAAGCCGUCUGGUUUAGAGGGCAGGAGCUAUAAAGGGGACAAACUUGGGUUACUUUCUCCGAAGCAGCAAAUGAUGAGGGGAAACCUAGUUUAUACAGGCAGAAAGUCUGUGUUAUGGAAUGUGAGGAACACUCUACCACGUGGCGUGGUACAGGCUGGUACAGUAAGGGCAUUUUAGAGACUCAGACAGCAACUUGGGUCAAAGAAGAACACGAGAUUAUGUGGGAGGGAAGCGUUAGAUUAAAAUGUUAGUACAGCAUUAAGGGCCGAAGGGCCUGUACUGUUCCCUGUUCUAAUGUCUCAAAUAAACAGGUCGUGUAUUCUAAAGAACACUGAUUUAAUUUUUCAAUAGCCAUUCCAAUACCAAUUUCACCACUUCCCAUAUCUACAGUUGAAGUCAGAAGUUUACAUACACUCAGAUUGAAGUCAUUAAAACUCAUUGUUUCACCACUCCACAGAUUUCAUAUUAGCAAACUACAGUUUUGGCAAGACAUUGAGGACAUCUACUUUGUGCAUGACACAAGUGAUUUUUCCAACAAUUGUUCACAGACAGAUUAUUUCACUUUUAAUUGACUAUAUCACAAUUCCAGUGGGUCAGAAGUUUACAAACAAAAUCAAAAGAUAUCAGCCAAGACUUCAGAAAUAAAAAUUGUGGUCCUCCACAAGUCUGGUUCAUCCUUGGGAACAAUUUCCAAAUGCCUGAAGGUACCACGUUCAUCUGUAUAAACAAUAGUACGCAAAUAUAAACACCAUGGGAUCGUGCAGUCGUCCUACCGCUCAGGAAGGAGACACAUUCCGUCUCCUAGAGAUGAACGUACUUUGGCACGAAAAGUGCAAAUCAAUCCCAGAACAACAGCAAAGGACCUUGUGAAGAUACUGGAGGAAACAGGUAGACAAGUAUCUAUAUCCACAGUAAAACGAGUCCUAUAUCGACAUAACCUGAAAGGCUGCUCAGCAAGGAAGAAGCCACUGCUCCAAAACCGCCAUAAAAAAGCCAGACUACAGUUUGCAAGUGCACAUGGGGACAAAGAUCUUACUUUUUGGAGAAAUGUCCUCUGGUCUGAUGAAACAAAAAUUGAUCUGUUUGGCCAUAAUGACCAUCAUUAUGUUUGGCGGGAAAAGGGUGAGGCUUGCAAGCCGAAGAACACCAUCCCAACCGUGAAGCAUGGGGGUGGCAGCAUCAUGUUGUGGGGGUGCUUUGCUGCAGGAGGGACUGGUGCACUUCACAAAAUAGAUGGCAUCAUGAGGAAGGAACAUUAUGUGGAUAUAUUGAAGCAACAUCUCAAGCCAUCAGCCAGGAAGUUAAAGUUUGUUCACAAAUGGGUCUUCCAAAUGGACAAUGACCCCAAGCAAAGCUCCAAAGUUGUGGCAAAGUUGCCUAAGGACAACGAAGUCAAGGUAUUGGGAGUGGCCAUCACAAAGCCCUGACCUCAGUCCGAUAGAAAAUUUGUGGGCAGAACUGAAAAAGCGUGUGCGAGCAAGGAGGCCUACAAACCUGACUCAGUUACACCAGACAACAGGAAUUCUGCCGAUGCUGGAAAUUCAAGCAACAUACAUCAAAGUUGCUGGUGAACGCAGCAGGCCAGGCAGCAUCUGUAGGAAGAGGUA